rnacentral:rRNA from 1 species
UGGGGAAUAUUGGACAAUGGGGGCAACCCUGAUCCAGCAAUGCCGCGUGUGUGAAGAAGGCCUUCGGGUUGUAAAGCACUUUUAUCCGGAACGAAACGCGCAGGGUGAAUAUCCUUGCGAACUGACGGUACCGGAGGAAUAAGCACCGGCUAACUUCGUGCCAGCAGCCGCGGUAAUACGAAGGGUGCAAGCGUUACUCGGAAUUACUGGGCGUAAAGGGUGCGUAGGUGGUUGUUUAAGUCUGCUGUGAAAGCCCCGGGCUCAACCUGGGAAUGGCAGUGGAUACUGGACAGCUAGAGUGCGGUAGAGGGUAGUGGAAUUCCCGGUGUAGCAGUGAAAUGCGUAGAGAUCGGGAGGAACACCAGUGGCGAAGGCGGCUACCUGGACCAGCACUGACACUGAAGCACGAAAGCGUGGGGAGCAAACAGGAUUAGAUACCCCCGUAGUCC